GCGGUAGUGGCGGAAUUGGUAGACGCACCAGCUUGAGGGGCUGGCGGUCGAAAGAUCGUGUGAGUUCGAGUCUCUCCUACCGCA
rnacentral:tRNA from 1 species